rnacentral:rRNA from 1 species
GAUCAUGGCUCAGAUUGAACGCUGGCGGCAUGCUUUACACAUGCAAGUCGAACGGUAACAGGUUAAGCUGACGAGUGGCGAACGGGUGAGUAAUGCAUCGGAACGUGCCCAGUCGUGGGGGAUAACGCAGCGAAAGCUGUGCUAAUACCGCAUACGAUCUAUGGAUGAAAGCGAGGGGACCGCAAGGCCUUGCGCGAACGGAGCGGCCGAUGGCAGAUUAGGUAGUUGGUGGGGUAAAGGCCUACCAAGCCUGCGAUCUGUAGCUGGUCUGAGAGGACGACCAGCCACACUGGGACUGAGACACGGCCCAGACUCCUACGGGAGGCAGCAGUGGGAAUUUUGGACAAUGGACGAAAGUCUGAUCCAGCCAUUCCGCGUGCAGGAUGAAGGCCUUCGGGUUGUAAACUGCUUUUGUACGGAACGAAAAGGCGACCUCUAAUACGGGUUGUUGAUGACGGUACCGUAAGAAUAAGCACCGGCUAACUACGUG